UCUGAAUGCACCUUUGGGUAUGAUAUCUCAGGCAGGCCCCAGAACAAUGUCUCAACCCUCCAGUCCCAGGUCCGCAGGCUCUCCACUACCCAAUUAGAUUAUUUUGGCUCCCUUUUCCUUCCUCCUUUUUCUUUUGUUUUGAGUCAGGGAUCACUAAAUCACCUAGGCUGGACUCAAAUUCCUGCCUCAGACUCCUAAACAGUUGUGAUUUCAGGCCUGCGCUGUCAGAUCUAACUCCACAGGCGUUUUCAAAGCACUGAGAAUUCGCGGAGCAUAGCAGACACACUCAGAAACCCGCGCUUAAGCCUUCGCGCAGGUGCGCUGGAUCUCGCCGCGCUCGUCACUACCCAGAAUCCCCGGGGCGGCAGAGACCAAUCACUCAACAGAAGGGGGGAGUCGUGGGUCGCGAGGCGGGCCUAGUGCACGGGGACUUCCUGUGAGCCUUUGCCACCCUCACCCUCCCUCGGGUGAGAAGUGGUCUAUUCCGAACCCUUAAGACGGGGGCGCACACCGGCUACUGUCUCUCUUUCUGCUGACGCCACGACGUCUGUAUUUGCACCUUGCAGCUGGGUCUGGCGCCUGGGCCUAGCAGAGCGGAGCCGGUGCGAUGCUGAGCCGGGGGCCCGGCCUUCCAGCCCCUCCUUGGGCGCCGCGCACACCUGAGGGAGCCGGACCGGGGAUGGACAGGAUGUCGAACAGAAGGCCCAGGAUCCCACCCUGAGGUAGGGAAUUUGGAGUGGAGGAUUUCUUGCAGCCCUGGCCUCCCAUGAGUCCAUUUUAGGAGUGUCCCUUCCUCAAGUUUGGAGGACCAAGUGCUAGAAUGCAGUGUUGGCAGCAGUGGAGAAGGAGGAGGCUAUCUCCAGAGGAGUGCCCAUCAACUCAAGAUUCUGACUGAAGGCCACCUCUCAUGAAAAAACUCCCAAGUGUGUCUGCCCA